AAUGACCCAGGUUCCUGAGGAGCUGACCUGAAUGACCAUCAUGGCCUCAAUCCGUUGUGCCUCUAUAUUCUUUGCAAAAUGCAAUGAAUAUUUACAGAGCUGACCAUGGCCGUUUGAGAAUCAGAGGAAUGGAAAGGCAAUGAAGUGACUUGGCCUACAGGUCUUUUGUGAGCAGGAGCUGGGGUUUCCUUAGAAGAAGCGUCCGUGUCAUGAUCCCCUUGUGUGUGGUGCUACGCAUAUGGAGGGAACUUCCGGAUACUUCAGGGCAGUACGUUGGAUUCAGAUCCCUUUUCGACUGAACCGCGUGACAUGUUCAGCAACAGCAUCCUCCAUGGAAGGUCUGUUUAGCUGAGCACACAAGUCCUGGGGCACAGGAAUCCGCUGGACGGCAUCCCAAUAAGGAAGAGGGUCUUUGAUGAUCUCGAAGAGGACAAGAAAAAGGACUUAUAUUGGAUACUGUAAUACAGUGCAUUGUAGGCUGUAUACUGUACAAUAAACAAAUUGUAUGGCCCUGAACAUUGUGCUUUGUUUACAGUACUGAUGAUGAUUUUGACACCAGUAGCAUCAGGUCUAAGACAGCCUGUUGUGUGUGAAUCGAUAAGUUAUUUUUAGUGCCUAUACUGUUGCACAUUUUGAUUUGUUGUUUGUAAUAAAAACAUAUAUUUUAUUAAACUUACAAAUUGUUUGGCAA